AUUGAACGCUGGCGGCAUGCUUUACACAUGCAAGUCGAACGGCAGCGGGGAGGAGCUUGCUUCUCUGCCGGCGAGUGGCGAACGGGUGAGUAAUACAUCGGAACGUGUCGAGAAGAGGGGGAUAACCACCCGAAAGGGUGGCUAAUACCGCAUAAAUUCUGAGGAAGAAAGCUGGGGACCUAGGAAUAGGCCUAGCGCUUUUUGAGCGGCCGAUGUCGGAUUAGCUAGUUGGUGAGGUAAAGGCUCACCAAGGCGAAGAUCUGUAGCGGGUCUGAGAGGAUGAUCCCCCACACUGGGACUGAGCCACGGCCCAGACUCCUACGGGAGGCAGCAGUGGGGAAUUUUGGACAAUGGGGGCAACCCUGAUCCAGCCAUGCCGCGUGUAUGAAGAAGGCCUUAGGGUUGUAAAGUACUUUUGUUAGGGAAGAAAAGUCAGCUGUGAAUAAUGGCUGAUACUGACGGUACCUAAAGAAUAAGCACCGGCUAACUACGUG
rnacentral:rRNA from 1 species